GUUGAACGCUGGCGGCAGGCUUAACACAUGCAAGUCGAGCGGGGUGAUGGUGCUUGCACUAUCACUUAGCGGCGGACGGGUGAGUAAUGCUUAGGAAUCUGCCUAUUAGUGGGGGACAACAUCUCGAAAGGGAUGCUAAUACCGCAUACGUCCUACGGGAGAAAGCAGGGGAUCACUUGUGACCUUGCGCUAAUAGAUGAGCCUAAGUCGGAUUAGCUAGUUGGUGGGGUAAAGGCCUACCAAGGCGACGAUCUGUAGCGGGUCGGAGAGGAUGAUCCGCCACACUGGGACUGAGACACGACACAGACUCCUACGGGAGGCAGCAGUGGGGAAUAUUGGACAAUGGGGGGAACCCUGAUCCAGCCAUGCCGCGUGUGUGAAGAAGGCCUUAUGGUUGUAAAGCACUUUAAGCGAGGAGGAGGCUCUUUUGGUUAAUACCCAAGAUGAGUGGACGUUACUCGCAGAAUAAGCACCGGCUAACUCUGUGCCAGCAGCCGCCGUAA
rnacentral:rRNA from 1 species